rnacentral:tRNA from 1 species
UAUUAUUUUGGCAGAUUAGUGCGAUAGAUUUAGAAUCUAUAUAUGUAUUUUUACAGAUAAU